CCAGCACCAUACCCUGCAUGCACAUAAUCACUAAGCCCUACAACUUUUGAAGGCACUAUCCAACCCUCCCUCAGCACUGCACCCUUGCACAUACACCAUCACCUAGCCUUCAACUAGGAAAAGCACCCACAAUAGCCCUAAAUCUCAAUCACAAUAUCCCUUUUUACCAAGCUUUCUCACCAGACCUCUCCCACCAGUCACCUUGCAUAAGCCAUGUGCACUCACAACCCGAUCCUG
rnacentral:lncRNA from 1 species